GCCUACGGGAGGCAGCAGUAGGGAAUCUUCCACAAUGGACGAAAGUCUGAUGGAGCAACGCCGCGUGAGUGAAGAAGGGUUUCGGCUCGUAAAGCUCUGUUGGUAGUGAAGAAAGAUAGAGGUAGUAACUGGCCUUUAUUUGACGGUAAUUACUUAGAAAGUCACGGCUAACUACGUGCCAGCAGCCGCGGUAAUACGUAGGUGGCAAGCGUUGUCCGGAUUUAUUGGGCGUAAAGCGAGUGCAGGCGGGUCAAUAAGUCUGUUGUGUAAACCUUUGGGUCCACCGGGGAAAUGCACCAGAAAAA
rnacentral:rRNA from 1 species